UCAAACCUCAAGCUCUUUUUGCUUGGUAUUGGGCUUUCGUCUGCUGUUAUACCACUGUAGUAGUAUAUUAUACGGUUUGGCGUGCCUGAAAAUCAAAUUGCGGUGCCUCAGAUGGACUCAAGUGUAGCAGGCUAACUCUCGCUUUGGAGAACUUUUGGUGGCGCUGUUGACUAAAAUAAUCAA
rnacentral:misc_RNA from 1 species